AACGUAGGUGGCGAGCGUUAUCCGGAUUUACUGGGCGUAAAGCGUGUGCAGGCGGGGGGAUAAGUGGGGUAUGAAAUUUCCCAGCUUAACUGGGAGGGGUUAUGCCAGACUGUCACUCUAGAGUGCGAGAGAGGAACGUGGAAUUCCGGGUGUAGUGGUGAAAUGCGUAGAGAUCGGCAGGAACACCCAGGGGGAAACCAGCCGACUGGGCAUUUGCUGACGCUGAGGUGCGAGAGCGUGGGGAGCGAACCGG
rnacentral:rRNA from 1 species